AUGAUCGAUGUCCCAAAGAACCUUGGAGCUCGCCGAAGGAUUGCUUUCUUCAGCAAUUCAUUGUUCAUGGACAUGCCACGAGCAACCAAGGUGGAGAAGAUGAUGGCCUUCAGUGUCUUGACACCAUAUUACAAUGAAGAGGUCUUGUACAACAAGGACCAGCUCUACAAGGAGAACGUAGAUGGCAUCUCGAUCUUGUACUAUCUGCAGCAGAUUUACCCGGAUGAGUGGGAGUUCUUUAUCGAGCGCAUGAAGCGGGAGGGCAUGUGUCAUAUCGAGGAGCUGUACAGCGAGGAGCAGAGGUUAAGGGAUCUCCGGCAGUGGGUCUCAUACAGGGGACAGACGCUAUCCCGCACCGUGAGGGGGAUGAUGUAU
rnacentral:rRNA from 1 species